ensembl:lncRNA
GGGGGGGGGGGUUUAAUGUUUGCUAUCUAUCCAGACACAAUGAUGGGGAGACGGUUGGUGGCCCCUGCCAUCACCGCCACUUUUUUAUCUAUCCCGUCCAAUCAGGCAGUCUCCCUGAUCUGCUCAGCGAAUCACUAAGAAGGGCUUCUUUUUCUUCUUCUCUGGUCUGAAAACGUCUUUGUUGUAAAUAAUCCUCCUCUCUUUCUCUGUCGCUUUCUCUCUUUCAUUCGAAGCAUCAUGUAAAUUAGAGAACACAGUAAGUACUUAGAGUAUGUGAGGUUGCAGAGUGGAAGUGGUUUAUUCUAAUGUGUUAUGGUAUGGUUUUGGCUCUGUGCUGAACCAUGAAGAAACCAGGAAGAAAAACUUUUGCAGGUGUCUAAACCUGUGGUUCCCAACAUGAGAAUCUUUACAGACUAAAGGGUCAACGGACGGUUUACAGCAAAGGAAAUCAGAAAAUACAGAUCCAAGUUGCUUUUUUAAUGAGAAAGAACAAACCCAAAGGGAAGCUUAUAAAACGUCUACAUCUUCUCAAAUUUAGGUCUACCCUGACUUUAACAAAUGUGGUAAAAAUUAAGUUAAGACGCAGUAUAAAAGUGUUGAGUUUACUUUUGGGGGCAUUUGGGGCCACAAUAGCACUAGAUGUGGUUGAGUUUGAGUCAGGCUCAAAUCUGAUUAUUUAAUGAGCACAUGGACAAAGUCAAGCUGGACAGUGGACAGCAUACAUUAAGACUACCCUGAAUGUUUAUGGAUGUGUUUACAUUUGUCCAAUUGGUCUGCAUGGCCAUUAACUGUUAGACAAGAUGAAGUUUACUUCAUACUAGCCCUUAUAUUUUAAAAUCACCAUGAGCUAGAAAUGUUGGGAACCACUGGCACAAAGGUCCAUUUGGAUUAAAUGAUAGGGUUGCAGGUUGAUUUCAGGCAUUUUAAAAACACCUUUCUUAAUCCUGGUGAUAUAGAUUUUUCCGUUGGUUGUUGAAAUGUGUAGAAUGAAGGCCUUCAGGUGAAGAUAGUUGGGGAACUAGUUUCCCAAACUCAACAUUUAUGUGAUGAUUCAGACAGUAUGCUGCUCCUCAGCUCAGAUCUUCAACUUUCUCCUGUUUCGCCCUCUAAUGUAAAUGUUGCUGCAGCGGUUGAGUAGCAGCUCUCAACCCGACUGUGUAUCCAAGCAAUAUUCAUAAAAACCUUCACGCUCACAUCCUAACUUUGUAUGCUAACAUCGCUUUAAUAUUCACAUGAAAACACAAAAACACACUGUAGAAAUGGAAGAAGGAUCAAAAAGCAAGAAACAAAUGUUUUUCUAUCAACAUGAACACAUUUGUCCUCCUUUUGCCUUUUUUGUUUUUGCACGCCUGCCUUGAUGUUCCUAAUUUUUGUUGUUGCUAUAUGUGUCACGCUCCAUUUUCCUUACCAGUCAUCUUCAAGACGCCGUUCUAUUUCCUGUAAAUGACAAACCAAGACUAUUAUUUUUAUUGGAUGAUUUUAGUUUGUUUUCAUAUCUGACCCAUCCCACAGCUGUCCAGAAACAGGACAGGGAAAAAAGACGUCCAUUUAUUUAUGACAGAAAUGCACUAAUUUACUGCUUUAUUUCAUCUAUCUUAAACACAACUCUUCUACCAUCUUCCUUUAUGUUCUGUCAGUAACUGACAUUGGCUUUUUCUAAGCGGUGGCGGCUUCAGGUUGUUUUCUUUAGAAUAAAAUUGUAUUUAUUUUAUUUUAAAAUCGUGUGAGCAGAAAAAUUUGAAUUGUAAUUAAUAAUAAUGCUAACUGUAGAUAGUAGUAAACAAACUAACGAGAGCAUUGCGCUAGAGUUUCCGUUUACAAGCGCUUGUUAAUGCAACUAGAGAUCAGUUAGCUGGUGAUAGCUAAUAGAGAGGAGGUGAACAUUAGUUGUCACUUUGCUGCAGAUUUAUGCUCAUUCAGGUUUGAGACUCAAAGCUAAAAUCGAAAAAUUGCUGAGUCAUCUGUCACCUAAGCUAACACCUAGCAGUGAGCAAGCCAGCAUUGUUUUAGGUUAACAGUGCAUUUCCCCUUUUAAAUAUUAAUCAAAUAAAUAGUGAAAUAGGAAUAGAGAAUCGAAACAUCGAGGCUCAUAAGCUGUAGAUAUGUUAACUGAACUAAGCUAAGUGAGGGGAAGAGGGGCAUAAGCUAAACUUCCCACCAUAAAAAUGCAAACUGUGACAAACAUUGUUUUAAAAAAGAUUUUCCCAGCUUCCAAGUAAACAAUCUAAGUCAGUCAUCUGCUUUCCAUUAGAAGUUUAGCAGAACAUGAAAACAAUAUGUGGAUAAUAGAAACAUGGUGUGAAGAGCAGCUAGCUAAACUCUGCUAGCAGAGCAUAUGGGGUGCUGUAUCUCCUUGAGUAUGAAGACUUGACUCUUCACAGAUGUUUCUGUUGUUCCGUUCACAUUUUCUUAGUCUCAUAAUUGAGGAGAAAACAUAGAAAAUAUCUGUUUUUGUGUAUAUUUUGAAGCUAAAACAUGCUGUGAAGCUCCAGCUAGCGGUCAGUUAGCUCAGUGGCCAGUAGCAUGGCGCAAUAUGUUUCCUAGCCUAGGAUCUUUCGGCUGAAGCCGCCUGCGUGUAGAUAAAUUAUGUCAUAUAACUGCGUUAAUAUGUCUGCACUGCUCUCGCCACCGCCAACACUUGUACAUAGACAUCAACAGAACGAAGAAAUAAUAUGGUCAAUGUCUAGUUGUGUUACCUCAUGUAGCCUCCUUAACCCCACCCAACUGGGCUGUCCACUACAUUAUUUAUAAAUGCACCCCUCGAGGAAGACUCGGCCCCCUUAAACCUACAUUUUUGUAUAAUUUUCUCCAUCCACUUUUUAUUAUUGUUGUUCUGAUUUAUCAUCCAGACACAUUAUUGUUCUUAUUGUCACUGUUAAUCUAAUAAUUAUUAUUAUUGUUGUUGAUGUUGUUGUUAUUAUUGUUAUUGAAUUUUUGUUUGAUGUACAGUACCGUUGUAUGAAAAUUCUACCUAAUACAGAGUCUUCUACUGUAAUGUGUCUCUUUUCAAUAAAGACAAGAAUAAUGCUUCUUAUUAUAACUUGAA